rnacentral:rRNA from 1 species
GAUGAACGCUAGCGGCAGGCUUAAUACAUGCAAGUCGAGGGGGAUCAGUUGGGUAGCAAUACCUGGCUGUGAGACCGGCAAACGGGUGCGGAACACGUACGCAACCUUCCCAAAACUGGUGAAUAGCCCUCCGAAAGGAGGAUUAAUACACCGUAACAUAAUGAAGUGGCAUCACUUUGUUAUUAUAGCUCCGGCGGUUUUGGAUGGGCGUGCGCCUGAUUAGGUAGUUGGUGUGGUAACGGCUCACCAAGCCUACGAUCAGUAACUGGUGUGAGAGCACGACCAGUCACACGGGCACUGAGACACGGGCCCCGACUCCCUACGGGGAGGCAGCAGUUAAGGAAUAUUGGUCAAUGGAGGCAACUCUGAACCAGCCAUGCCGCGUGGAGGAUGAAGGUCCUCUGGAUUGUAAACUUCUUUUAUAUGGGACGAAAAAGGCUUUUCUAAGUCGUCUGACGGUACCAUAUGAAUAAGCACCGGCUAACUCCGUGCCAGCAGCCGC